CGUCUUCCUAUGCAUGAGCCCCCUCUUCUCUCUCCAACGUCGCCGGUGCCCCCGUCUUGGUCAUCGCCAGCACCAACGCAAACGCGCAUCGCCUUGCUCUCAUCGCCCUUCACAGAAUCCAGGUUUCGGCUUUGCGAUGUUCAAAUCAAGGGGGUUUCGUUGUUGAGCAAUGAAUAGAAGACCUAGUCAGUUGUGAAUAGAUGCUUGAGAGACAUCUUUGAUGUAAGAUCUCCAUGUGAAAGCAUGGAGAAUUUCUUUCUUGUUCUCCACGGACAGCUAACACUUGAAAUCCUGUGGCACUCUGUACCAGUAGAACUUGUAGUGAGCUGCUGCACAGUGUUCCUCUUAUGUUCUUUGUGUAUUGUUGUUCCGUCAUAUAGAGUAAAAGGACACAAAAAUAAUGAGAACCCUGCAGAAUAAAUCUUCG